UAAAAAUUUAUGUGUGGUUGCAUUUGUUUGUGGUUGCAUUUGUUGAGUGCCCUUCGGUCUGUUCCAGUGCUGUUUCACCCUGGCGACCAUGCUAAAGCGAACAGCGACCGCUUUUCUUCACAAACGCUGCCUGCCCUUGAUCCACAACGACGGCACGCAACGCCUCGGAUUUUGCACUUACGGGCCGGACGCCUCCCAGCCUUUCGAUGCCACGCAAGACGUGCCGGUCACUUUCGACGAAGAAAACCUCAAGUUCAUCGUGUGUCCGGUGACUAAAAAGCCUCUUCGAUACGACAGCGCGAGAAACGUGCUUGUGUCCGACGAACUUGGCAAGGCUUUUCCCAUACAAAACGGUAUUCCGAACUUGCUUCCCGACAGCGCAAAACCACUCGACGAGAUAUAAUCGACGGAAGCAGUCCCGUUAGUAGAAUGCACGAACUUCACGAUA
rnacentral:lncRNA from 1 species